rnacentral:rRNA from 1 species
GCCAGCAGCCAUGUCACCCUGCAGUGCUCAUCUGACAGGCCCACUGAAGCUCAGCAGGUGUGAGCCUGGUCAGUACCUGGAUGGGAGACCUCCUGGGAAAAACUAAGGUUAUUGCUGGAA